rnacentral:rRNA from 1 species
AGUGAACGCUGGCGGUAGGCCUAACACAUGCAAGUCGAACGGCAGCACAGUAAGAGCUUGCUCUUACGGGUGGCGAGUGGCGGACGGGUGAGGAAUACAUCGGAAUCUACUUUUUCGUGGGGGAUAACGUAGGGAAACUUACGCUAAUACCGCAUACGACCUACGGGUGAAAGCAGGGGAUCUUCGGACCUUGCGCGAUUGAAUGAGCCGAUGUCGGAUUAGCUAGUUGGCGGGGUAAAGGCCCACCAAGGCGACGAUCCGUAGCCGGUCUGAGAGGAUGAUCAGCCACACUGGAACUGAGACACGGUCCAGACUCCUGCGGGAGACAGCAGUGGGGAAUAUUGGACAAUGGGCGCAAGCCUGAUCCAGCCAUACCGCGUGAGUGAAGAAGGCCUUCGGGUUGUAAAGCCCUUUUGUUGGGAAAGAAAAGCAGCAGGUUAAUACCCCGCUGUUCUGACGGUACCCAAAGAAUAAGCACCGGCUAACUUCGUG